rnacentral:rRNA from 1 species
CCGUCUUGAAACACGGACCAAGGAGUCUAGCAUGUGCGCGAGUCAUUGGGACGAGACUAAACCUAAAGGCGAAAUGAAAGUGAAGGUCCGCCUCGCGCGGACCGAGGGAGGAUGGGCACGCUCUCGGGCGGCCCCGCACUCCCGGGGCGUCUCCUUCUCAUCGCGAGAUGAGGCGCACCCAGAGCGUACACGCUGGGACCCGAAAGAUGGUGAACUAUGCCUGGUCAGGACGAAGUCAGGGGAAACCCUGAUGGAGGUCCGUAGCGAUUCUGACGUGCAAAUCGAUCGUCGGAACUGGGUAUAGGGGCGAAAGACUAAUCGAACCAUCUAGUAGCUGGUUCCCUCCGAAGUUUCCCUCAGGAUAGCUGGCGCUCGCCGCGCGCGAGUCUCAUCCGGUAAAGCGAAUGAUUAGAGGCAUUGGGGUCGAAACGGCCUCAACCUAUUCUCAAACUUUAAAUGGGUGAGAUCUCCGGCUUGCUCGAACACGUGAAGCCGCGAGAUUUCGGAUCAGAGUGCCAAGUGGGCCACUUUUGGUAAGCAGAACUGGCGCUGUGGGAUGAACCAAACGCAGAGUUAAAGCGCCCAAAUCGACGCUUAUGGGAUACCAUGAAAGGCGUUGGUAACUUAAGACAGCAGG